UGUGAAGGGUNCACUCUGCUCUUUAAGUGU
rnacentral:piRNA from 1 species